rnacentral:rRNA from 1 species
AUUGAACGCUGGCGGCAGGCCUAACACAUGCAAGUCGAGCGGUAACACAGGGAGCUUGCUCCCGGGUGACGAGCGGCGGACGGGUGAGUAAUGUCUGGGAAACUGCCUGAUGGAGGGGGAUAACUACUGGAAACGGUAGCUAAUACCGCAUAAUGUCGCAAGACCAAAGAGGGGGACCUUCGGGCCUCUUGCCAUCAGAUGUGCCCAGAUGGGAUUAGCUAGUAGGUGGGGUAACGGCUCACCUAGGCGACGAUCCCUAGCUGGUCUGAGAGGAUGACCAGCCACACUGGAACUGAGACACGGUCCAGACUCCUACGGGAGGCAGCAGUGGGGAAUAUUGCACAAUGGGCGCAAGCCUGAUGCAGCCAUGCUGCGUGUAUGAAGAAGGCCUUCGGGUUGUAAAGUACUUUCAGCGGGGAGGAAGGUGUUGAGGUUAAUAACCUCAGCAAUUGACGUUACCCGCAGAAGAAGCACCGGCUAACUCCGUGCCAGCAGCCGCGGUAAAAC